GAGAUUGCUCCAAGUUUUGACUUUCAAAACUUAAUGACUUUGUACGGUCUAUAAUCUGUUGGAAAGCUGAAUAAGUAGGGUGUUCAAUUAUUAUUGAUUCACCGUCCAACUUAGCUUUAAACCCAAAUUGUACCUCGGGUUCGGGCUCUUCGGCUUCAGUAGCAGUUUCGGCUUCCGUGAUUAAAUCAUCAGCAACAACAUUUGUAGAGGUAGAUUCAAUACUUUCAUCUUCAGUACUUUGAUCGGCAGCUACAUUAGAAGCUGCGGCAACUGAAGGAUUAUUACGGUUUUCAACAAGUUGUAUUAAUUGAGCACUGUCCAUUUCCAGCUUGUUAGCAAGCACAUCAACACUUAUGACACUGUGAAUACGGCAAUAUGCCUCAGCAAGUAAUUUGCGAGCACC